rnacentral:rRNA from 1 species
GGGCGUUAAGUUGCAGGGUAUAGACCCGAAACCCGGUGAUCUAGCCAUGGGCAGGUUGAAGGUUGGGUAACACUAACUGGAGGACCGAACCGACUAAUGUUGAAAAAUUAGCGGAUGACCUGUGGCUGGGGGUGAAAGGCCAAUCAAACCGGGAGAUAGCUGGUUCUCCCCGAAAGCUAUUUAGGUAGCGCCUCGUGAAUUCAUCUCCGGGGGUAGAGCACUGUUUCGGCUAGGGGGCCAUCCCGGCUUACCAACCCGAUGCAAACUGCGAAUACCGGAGAAUGUUAUCACGGGAGACACACGGCGGGUGCUAACUGCUGGAGGUAUCAGAAGUGCGAAUGCUGACAUAAGUAACGAUAAAGCGGGUGAAAAGCCCGCUCGCCGGAAGACCAAGGGUUCCUGUCCAACGUUAAUCGGGGCAGGGUGAGUCGACCCCUAAGGCGAGGCCGAAAGGCGUAGUCGAUGGGAAACGGGUUAAUAUUCCCGUACUUGGUGUUACUGCGAAGGGGGGACGGAGAAGGCUAUGUUGGCCGGGCGACGGUUGUCCCGGUUUAAGCGUGUAGGUGUGUGUUCCAGGUAAAUCCGGUUCACUUUAACACUGAGGCGUGAUGACGAGGCACUACGGUGCUGAAGCAACAAAUGCCCUGCUUCCAGGAAAAGCCUCUAAGCAUCAGGUAACAUCAAAUCGUACCCCAAACCGACACAGGUGGUCAGGUAGAGAAUACCAAGGCGCUUGAGAGAACUCGGGUGAAGGAACUAGGCAAAAUGGUGCCGUAACUUCGGGAGAAGGCACGCUGACACGUAGGUGAAGUGAUUUACUCAYGGAGCUGAAGUCAGUCGAAGAUACCAGCUGGCUGCAACUGUUUAUUAAAAACACAGCACUGUGCAAACACGAAAGUGGACGUAUACGGUGUGACGCCUGCCCGGUGCCGGAAGGUUAAUUGAUGGGGUCAGCGCAAGCGAAGCUCCUGAUCGAAGCCCCGGUAAACGGCGGCCGUAACUAUAACGGUCCUAAGGUAGCGAAAUUCCUUGUCGGGUAAGUUCCGACCUGCACGAAUGGCGUAAUGAUGGCCAGGCUGUCUCCACCCGAGACUCAGUGAAAUUGAACUCGCUGUGAAGAUGCAGUGUACCCGCGGCAAGACGGAAAGACCCCGUGAACCUUUACUAUAGCUUGACACUGAACAUUGAGCCUUGAUGUGUAGGAUAGGUGGGAGGCUUUGAAGYGUGGACGCCAGUCUGCRUGGAGCCGACCUUGAAAUACCACCCUUUAAUGUUUGAUGUUCUAACGUGGACCCGUWAYCCGGGUUGCGGACAGUGUCUGGUGGGUAGUUUGACUGGGGCGGUCUCCUCCUAAAGAGUAACGGAGGAGCACGAAGGUUGGCUAAUCCUGGUCGGACAUCAGGAGGUUAGUGCAAUGGCAUAAGCCAGCUUGACUGCGAGCGUGACGGCGCGAGCAGGUGCGAAAGCAGGUCAUAGUGAUCCGGUGGUUCUGAAUGGAAGGGCCAUCGCUCAACGGAUAAAAGGUACUCCGGGGAUAACAGGCUGAUACCGCCCAAGAGUUCAUAUCGACGGCGGUGUUUGGCACCUCGAUGUCGGCUCAUCACAUCCUGGGGCUGAAGUAGGUCCCAAGGGUAUGGCUGUUCGCCAUUUAAAGUGGUACUCCCUGAGACUUAGAGUCUCCUGAAGGAACGUUGAAGACGACGACGUUGAUAGGCCGGGUGUGUAAGCGCAGCGAUGCGUUGAGCUAACCGGUACUAAUGAACCGUGAGGCUUAACCUU